rnacentral:rRNA from 1 species
AACGAACGCUGGCGGCAUGCCUUACACAUGCAAGUCGAACGGUAGCAGGUCUUCGGAUGCUGACGAGUGGCGAACGGGUGAGUAAUACAUCGGAACGUGCCCGAUCGUGGGGGAUAACGGAGCGAAAGCUUUGCUAAUACCGCAUACGAUCUACGGAUGAAAGCAGGGGACCGCAAGGCCUUGCGCGGACGGAGCGGCCGAUGGCAGAUUAGGUAGUUGGUGGGAUAAAAGCUUACCAAGCCGACGAUCUGUAGCUGGUCUGAGAGGACGACCAGCCACACUGGGACUGAGACACGGCCCAGACUCCUACGGGAGGCAGCAGUGGGGAAUUUUGGACAAUGGGCGAAAGCCUGAUCCAGCCAUGCCGCGUGCAGGAUGAAGGCCUUCGGGUUGUAAACUGCUUUUGUACGGAACGAAAAGACUAUUUCUAAUAAAGAGGGUCCAUGACGGUACCGUAAGAAUAAGCACCGGCUAACUACGUGCCAGCCGCCGCGGUAA